GAUGAACGCUGGCGGCGUGCCUAAUACAUGCAAGUCGAGCGAACAGAUAAGGAGCUUGCUCCUUUGACGUUAGCGGCGGACGGGUGAGUAACACGUGGGUAACCUACCUAUAAGACUGGGAUAACUUCGGGAAACCGGAGCUAAUACCGGAUAACAUUUGGACCGCAUGGUUCUAAAGUGAAAGAUGGUUUUGCUAUCACUUAUAGAUGGACCCGCGCCGUAUUAGCUAGUUGGUAAGGUAACGGCUUACCAAGGCAACGAUACGUAGCCGACCUGAGAGGGUGAUCGGCCACACUGGAACUGAGACACGGUCCAGACUCCUACGGGAGGCAGCAGUAGGGAAUCUUCCGCAAUGGGCGAAAGCCUGACGGAGCAACGCCGCGUGAGUGAUGAAGGGUUUCGGCUCGUAAAACUCUGUUAUUAGGGAAGAACAAACGUGUAAGUAACUGUGCACGUCUUGACGGUACCUAAUCAGAAAGCCACGGCUAACUACGU
rnacentral:rRNA from 1 species